UGGGGAAUAUUGCGCAAUGGGCGAAAGCCUGACGCAGCGACGCCGCGUGAGGGAUGAAGGCCUUCGGGUUGUAAACCUCUUUCAUCAGGGACGAAGCGAAAGUGACGGUACCUGCAGAAGAAGCACCGGCCAACUACGUGCCAGCAGCCGCGGUAAUACGUAGGGUGCAAGCGUUGUCCGGAAUUAUUGGGCGUAAAGAGCUCGUAGGCGGUUUGUCGCGUCGGCUGUGAAAACCCGAGGCUCAACCUCGGGCCUGCAGUCGAUACGGGCAAACUAGAGUGCGGUAGGGGAGACUGGAAUUCCUGGUGUAGCGGUGAAAUGCGCAGAUAUCAGGAGGAACACCGGCGGCGAAGGCGGGUCUCUGGGCAUUAACUGACGCUGAGGAGCGAAAGCAUGGGGAGCGAAC
rnacentral:rRNA from 1 species